AUGGAAGCGUUUCCAAUCUUUUGCAAUUAGUCAAAAGGAGAAACAAGAGAGAGAUGGAGCAGAUGAGAGACGCAGACGGGAGAUGGUCAUCUUCUCUGACGACUGGGGUCAGCGAUAGGGCUUUCUUAGUAGCCAGCGACGGCGAUGGUUCCAAGGUGAUUGUUGUCAUCGGUGGUCAGCAAAGGGUGAGAUCUGUCUUCCAACGGCUAGGGUUCCGCCAUGAAUCACUGGCGGCAACGAACAUUGAUUAUUGACAUAGCUGGCGUGAAGCUUUCUUGCGAUGGUGUACCGGUGAAGGAAUGGAUGAGAUGGAGUUCACCGAAGCUGAAAGUAACAUGAAUGAUUAUGUAGCUGAAUAUCAAGAAUAUCAAGAUGCUACAUCAGAUGUAGAAUAUGAUGAAAAGGGUAAGGAGGAAGAGAAAGAUCAAUAUGAAGGGUAAAUUUGUAAAAAAAAAAAAGAAAAACAAAUGGUGUGUUUUGUUUUUGUCAGUUCUAUAUGAUGUAGUUUGGAGUGUACUCUUUAAGGUUGUGGUUUUAGAUACUUCAUGGAAAUCGGUAUCAUGCGAUAUGUGUUGGAUUUAAUACUAAUGGGAAUGGUGAGACUUCAAGGUUGUGCCCAAGGUGUUUAGUUGAAUGAAGGUCCCCUCCUUCCGAGGUACGCUCCAAUUAAGCACCACAUCUACAACAACAAUCUCAAUCAACCCAUCGAUACAAUAUGAUGCCAUGAUUAUCAAGUGGAGGAUUUAUAGCAUCUGCAGCCUGAAGCUUAAAUUGAAUGUUCAUGUUAUGCAUUGAGUUCUGUGGCUUAAAUGUGGACAAAUUUGCCUGUUGGUUAAUAGGUUGUGUAUAGCUAACACGAAAUUAGUGGAAUGCAAUAUUUGGUGCAGGCAACGUAUUAACAGGAUUUGCAGAAACCCCACAUCUCGCGGACCAGAUCGCUCGUAUUGGAAUUGGGUACAGAGUCGAACCGAACGCUACGGGUUCGUGAUUCGGAUCGGAAAUAUUGGUCAUCCUUUUGAGAGCCGAUCUUUCUUCCAACCGGUUGUAACCAGCUCAUCUGAGCUUUCAUGUCAUGACGAGCCAGAGUCAUCACCGGAAGCCACAGUUCAUGACAGAGUCAAACGACAAGAGACUGAAUUCGUAAGCUGUAAAAAAGAGACUGGCGUUGAAGAAAGCAGUAGUGAAUUUGAAAAACUAUCGCUGAUACGAGAAACUAUCCAAGCAUUCAAGCAUCAGUUGUUUCGAAGAGUUAGCUUUUGAAGAACUUUUGAUUGUUAUUGAGGCGAGGAUCGGUAUUGUGAAAUCAUUAUAUUUCCUGCCAUCAUUAAUGCACUGGCUUGAGUCUUUAAUGUUGGCUAGCUAGCUUCGGGAAAAGAUCGCUGGCCACAUGACUGAUAUACACGUCUCAAUCUCACUGGAUCAAUGACGCCCACUGUUUCUGAAGUCAACAUUGAUGAAAUCCGAUCGACUUCUACCAACUCUGAUAGGUACCCUGCUUAUCUUCAUGCUCCCAUGACCAGUUCUCCAAACCUUCCUCCGAACAUUUCCGAUAAUUUGCCAAGAUGAAAGUGAACCCAAGAAUAUUAUUUAGUAAUUGGACUAUUUUGACCAAUCAAAAGUCGACAUAUGGCGCAAGGGUGAAAAUUUUGGGCAUGCACUAGCAAGGAGAAUCAUCUGGACCAAUCUUGAAACGACACAUGGCAAGGAGACGUGUCCAAUUGCCAUGGAUAGGUCACGUGGAUAUUUUCAAAUGAGGGGAUUUCACAGGUAGAUCUACAGAAAGCAACCUACAAUUUCACCUCAUUGAUAGGCCAAGGGGCAUUUGGUUCUGUUUAUAAAGCUUAGAUGACUACUGGUGAAGCAGGAACCGUUCAAUUAUGCUUAACGAGAUAAGUUGACAAACAAUAUGUAUUGUGUUAUUCCAUCUACCCUAAUCAAUACGGGUUGCAAAAUAGUUCGGUCGGGCAGGUUGGAUAACGGGUCAAUUUAAGUUGUUUAUGGUACUGUCAGAACGGGUUGAGCCGACCCAAUAUUUUAUCUUUAGAAGAUCUUCCAGGUAAUUGCGUACAAAUUUAAAAUCACACGCAUACAUGCUUUUUAAUUAUAUGCUUGCUUGAUUAUUUGGGUAAACAAUUGCCUUUUUUAAUGAAAUGUCGAUUUUUUCUUGAAGUUAAUCAUUUUGUUGUGGAGAUAGGUAAUCCACUUUUGGACUUCAAUACAAGUUUUAAUUCAAGGGGGAGGGAGAUAGAGAUGUUCAUGGUUCGGUUCAAAAUCAUGAAAUCGGUCAACACUUUGUGAUAAGCAUGACAUAUUGGAUGAAAAAAUUUAGCGAUUGUCGGUUGUCACAUCUUUGAGGGUGGAAUGAAUCUUUUCAUUUGUGAGUUUGUAGCAUUCCAAGAUGUAAAAAGAGGAGUGUUGAUUUUAAGUGAGGUAACUAUUGGUACAAUAAACUUUGUAAUAACUUAUAUUAUUUGUGAAUGUUAUAAAGUGGAAACUUAG
rnacentral:lncRNA from 1 species